GACGAACGCUGGCGGCGUGCCUAAUACAUGCAAGUUGAGCGCUGAAGGUUGGUACUUGUACCAACUGGAUGAGCAGCGAACGGGUGAGUAACGCGUGGGGAAUCUGCCUUUGAGCGGGGGACAACAUUUGGAAACGAAUGCUAAUACCGCAUAAAAACUUUAAACACAAGUUUUAAGUUUGAAAGAUGCAAUUGCAUCACUCAAAGAUGAUCCCGCGUUGUAUUAGCUAGUUGGUGAGGUAAAGGCUCACCAAGGCGAUGAUACAUAGCCGACCUGAGAGGGUGAUCGGCCACAUUGGGACUGAGACACGGCCCAAACUCCUACGGGAGGCAGCAGUAGGGAAUCUUCGGCAAUGGACGAAAGUCUGACCGAGCAACGCCGCGUGAGUGAAGAAGGGUUUCGGAUCGUAAAACUCUGUUGGUAGAGAAGAACGUUGGUGAGAGUGGAAAGCGCAUCAAGUGACGGUAACUAACCAGAAAGGGACGGCUAACUACGUG
rnacentral:rRNA from 1 species